rnacentral:rRNA from 1 species
GAUGAACGCUGGCGGCGUGCCUAAUACAUGCAAGUCGAGCGGAUGUAGCAAUACAUCAGCGGCGGACGGGUGAGUAACACGUGGGCAACCUGGCCUUAAGAGGGGGAUAACGUCCCGAAAGGGACGCUAAUACCGCGUAAAUCAACGAGAUCGCAUGAUUUUGUUGGAAAAGGAGUAAUCCGCUUAAGGAUGGGCCCGCGGCCUAUUAGCUAGUUGGUAGGUAACGCCUACCAAGGCGACGAUAGGUAGCCGACCUGAGAGGGUGAACGGCCACACUGGAACUGAGAAACGGUCCAGGCUCCUACGGGAGGCAGCAGUAGGGAAUAUUCCGCAAUGGGCGAAAGCCUGACGGAGCAACGCCGCGUGAGUGAAGAAGGUUUUCGGAUCGUAAAGCUCUGUCAACAGGGACGAAACAAGACGGUACCUGAGAAGGAAG